rnacentral:tRNA from 1 species
GCCGUGGCUCAGUGGAAGAGACUCUGCUUUGCAUGCUGAAGGUCCCCUGUUCAAUCCCUGGAAUCUCCA